rnacentral:snRNA from 1 species
AGCUUUGCGCAGUGGCAGUAUCGUAGCCAAUGAGGUUUAUCCGAGGCGCGAUUAUUGCUAAUUAAAGAUUACUUUUUUUUUA